CAUGGCGGACGGGUGAGUAACGCGUAAAGAACUUGCCCUUUAGACUGGGAGUAACAGAGGGAAACGUUCUGAUAAUACUGGAUAAGUUAGUAUAUCGCAUGAUAUGCAAAUGAAAGCUACGGCACUAAAGGAGAGCUUUGCGUCCUAUUAGCUAGUUGGUAAGGUAAGAGCUUACCAAGGCGAUGAUAGGUAGCCGGCCUGAGAGGGUGGACGGCCACAAGGGGACUGAGAUACGGCCCUUACUCCUACGGGAGGCAGCAGGG
rnacentral:rRNA from 1 species